rnacentral:lncRNA from 1 species
GAAGCCUGGCGCAAGGUUGGUCUGCAGGUGGCCUCCAGGUGCAAAGUGGGAAGUGUGAGUCCUCAGUCUUGGGCUAUUCGGCCACGUGCCUGCCGGACAUGGGACGCUGGAGGGUCAGCAGCGUGGAGUCCUGGCCUUUUGCGUCCACGGGUGGGAAAUUGGCCAUUGCCACGGCGGGAACUGGGACUCAGGCUGCCCCCCGGCCGUUUCUCAUCCGUCCACCGGACUCGUGGGCGCUCGCACUGGCGCUGAUGUAGUUUCCUGACCUCUGACCCGUAUUGUCUCCAGAUUAAAGGUACGACAUUUGGAGGCCCCAGCGAGAAACGUCACCGGGAGAAACGUCACCGGGCGAGAGCCGGGCCCGCUGUGUGCUCCCCCGGAAGGACAGCCAGCUUGUAGGGGGGAGUGCCACCUGAAAAAAAAAUUUCCAGGUCCCCAAAGGGUGACCGUCUUCCGGAGGACAGCGGAUCGACUACCAUGUGGGUGCCCACAAAAAUUCCACCUCUGAGUCCUCAACUGCUGACCCCGGGGUCAGUAGACACGGGGUUUCACCAUGUUGGCCAGGCCGGUCUUGAACUUGUGACGUCAGGUGAUGCACCCGCCUUGGCCUCCCAAAGUGCUGGGAUUACAGGUCCAGAUUUUGAACAAAUCUCGCUAGAGAUUGAACAGAGCUGCGCCUGGAUCCCGCCACAGUGAGGAGACCUGAAGACCAGAGAAAACACAGCAAGCCCCUGGAUCCUCCUGGAAUCCCCGAUCCCUCUUGCUCCCUGGCAGAGUUUUCUAGUCCCUCUUACUUGAAGCAUGUCUUUCAGAGCCCGGCACCACCCAUCUUGAGUAUCUGAUACCCCAUCAGCCUGAGUCUCUUAAAGGCCUUUAUACACAUAUGUCUACACAUAGGGAUUUGGAUGAUCUCGGGAUCCCACAUCCUCGCUGUCCCCUGUCCCCCCGCAACAUCCCCCACCAAUACCUUUCUGAAGUUUUCUAGUCCCUCCUUUUUGUUUGUGCUCCUUAAAGCCCAGCCCCAUGCCUGACUUUGGUUCCCAGUGAGCAUUGUACAUUUGUGGAUAUUAAAUCUUUGGCAAAGUCAUUUACCUGGGCUGGAA